CAUGUUAUAUAUAUGCCAAAAAUAACAAUUCCGAAAAUAUUUAGAACCGAAACAUAUAUUACCCGAAAAUAUAAUAGCCGAAAAAUAUUUAAGUCGAAAAUAAUAUUUACGAAAAAUAUUUAGGUCGAAAAUAAUGUCAUCGAACGUAUUUUAGCUGACACUUAUUAUUUGAACAGAACCUUUAUAAGUUAUAAAUUAUAAUAGUAUACAAAAACAGUGUUACGCGCGCCGUGUGACCGUGUUGUGUCUACUGUCUACACUAUUUUUAUAACAUCUGUGAUAAGUUCCAUUUGUUAUUGAAAUAUACAGCUAUUUUUUAUUUUUUGGUUGAUAUUUUUUUUCCAUAUACACUACUAAUGCUUAAUUGUUGUAUUUGUUUAUACUUAGCUACAUAAUAGUAAACUCAAACAGGGACAACCUAUGGUAGACUGGCGCCUUGCCGAUACUGAAUAAAAUGUUUAUAUAUUAUUAAGCCGGCAGUAGUUUUUGGGGGUCUAAAAUAACCGGUAUGGUUUUUUGGAUCUAGAUAUGAUACACUCAUCAGACUUAUCACUAAUAUCCAGCUAAUAUAUAAAAUAGAUCACUCCAGUUUAUGUUUAUACAAGGGCAGAUACAAGGGGAAGGCUGGAGUUAAUAGUUUAUAGUUUAAAAUACAAUCUAUAUUAAAAUAUAUAUAAACCAAGUCAAACUAUAACGAUAAUUUAAGAGUAGUAAAUUCACAUGACUUCUUAAAAACAAUCCAAAUUAACUCAGGUGCUAUAAUAUAAUAUACAUUAUAUUAUCAUUGAUUAUCAUUAAUCAAAGAUAUUAUGUAUAAAUGCACAAACAACAAAAAAGUUCAAAUGUAUUUAAUUUAUAUUUAUAAACAUAGAUUUCCUUAUUUCACACUAUUAUAAUAUACAAGUUAAUAGUUAGCUGUAACUCAAAUUUAAGUGACAUGUGUAUUGGCGUAGUCGAUUGCAUUAUCUAGAUGUUUCUAUACAUGUGCAUAGAGUACACAAGGGUUUCACAAAAUGAUUUAUACUUAGUUUGUGAUAUUAUAAUUAUCGUGAAGUGCGUCUCAUACGGUUAAAAAGUUAUUAACAAAAAAUUAAUAUUACUAAGUUUACUAUUAAAUAACCGUUAUGGCAAAGAUAGGGCAACAUAUUUUCAGAUGGAUGCAAAAUUGGAUAAGCAGUAUGAAGACACGUUCAGAUUUAUUGAAUUAUAUUUCAAACAAUUGGAUAUAAUGUUUAACUAUUAUAAAACUCUAAACCCUAAGGACCGCUGCAUGAUUGAUAUUUCAUUAGUAAUGUACAACAACUUAUCUGGAGGGAGUAAAUAAAAAUGAUAGAUUUGAGAUUUCUAAUGUUAAUUUUAUGUUAAAUAGCCAGAUUGAACUAUUUUUAUUUACAAAGCUUCUCAACUCCGAGGAAUGGCACUGGCUAGAAAAUAUAUGAAAAGCGGAGUAAUUAUAAAUCCUACUUCGUUACUUGGUCUUAAUCAGAGUUCAAAUUUGCAACAAUAUGUAUUGCUGCUGCGAAAAUAAUAGCUACUUCUACUGAACCUAUAAACCAGCAAGACAAGAACAAUAAAAAUCCUCUACUUAGAGUGCUAACAUUGUGUAGCAAGCCAAUUUAUAAACCAUAUUUUGACUGCAAUGAAGAAAAUGUCAAUUAAACAAGGCAUCAGGAUGACAUUUCAAAUCCAUUUGUUAUUGCGAAAGCAGUUUCAUAUACUGUUGUAUAUGCACCCAACGGUACCAUAUGGAUAGUACAAAACAAUGGACUUGGACUUAAACAAUGGAUUUGUUUAAUUAAUAUUAAAUUUUGUAUGUAAAUAAAAUGCACUGCAUUUCCCCCUUGUGGUUAUAUAUUUAUUAAAUAAUUAUAAUUUUAAUAAUAAAUAAUAAUAUAACUCAAACCAAUCUAGAAAAUAAAAUAUAUUUAUUUCAUUUUUAUUAAUAAAAUGUAUAAAAACAUAUUAAUAAAAUGUAAUUAGC